ACUCCUCAGGGCGCACCAGUGCUGGGCGCGCCAGCGAGCGCCGCGCCCUCUGCACGCUUCAUCGUAAGCUAUUCCCGCCUGGCAGGCUCGCUGCCUCGCUCACGACACUAGGCAAACCUUUCUAGCCACGAUAGUUCUGCGUUCGUGUGUGUGUCGUCGUGCCGAGUUUUCAUACGGUCGACUUUUACCGCGCUGCCUCGCAUUGUGUGUUGUAUGUUGUGGUUACUGACGUUAAGCGCAAGUUCGUCACGCAGUGUUAUACGCGGUAGCUGGUAAAUAGUCACCAGAUGCCGGCCGUGCGACUCCAGUCUGCGACUGCUUUGUUCAGUGUGACCGACGGAGGCGAUUCAUAGUUUUGAAAAACACGUUCUUCAAAUGUUUCCGCACCUCAGUAGGGUGCCUUGAUGCGCGUUUUGUCCGCUCACAUCGAGGCACAGUACACGGCAGUGAGUAGCAGCGCUGCAAUCCUUUCUCGACGACGCGUUCUGUGGCCUUGGAAAAUGCCUUGACGCUCGGGGACGGCCGGUAGCUCGGCGAUUCCUCGCUUGGCGCACCAUUGAAAACCGGCGGUCAUCCAGCAGUGUACGCUGCCAGCGUAUUUUUAUUGCCAGAGGUAGCAAACAGCAGUGCCACGACAAACAGUGGAGUGCUGACCAUGCAGUCCAGAAGGUGGCUGAGGCAAGUAUGCUAUAGGAGGUGCUUAUUCAGGCAGAAGAAAUAAGCUUCCGUAGCCAACGUAAAGGAAGCAUCUUCAAAAAGCAGUGCUACAAGGAUGUGAGCAGCAGUUUCCCUUCAACGAACGGGUCAAAUUCAUGGAAGCCACAUGCCUGCUGCUUCUGGCCUACACAAACAUGCAGCCACCAUAGUAAAGUUCCUGCAAAGACAUUCUACACGAACUUGCCCAAAGGCAGAAGGAAGGCACGCACAGAUGGACGCACAGAAAUCAUGGGGCUGCCGUAGAAGCUGUGAAUGAGCAUUAACCUACGUACAGAAAGGAGCGAAGUGGAGCUGUCCAUGGGCUGUGCACACAGUUUCAUAAGCAGGCUUGCAACACUUUUGACAAAUAUGUUCCUGAAUACACCUGCCGAAGUGGCAUUUAAAGAAGCAUGUAGUAGUGUACUUCACUGUUU